AAAAAACUGAGCUUGGCUAUAAGGCCUCACUCCCUUUUCUCUCCUUUUAAGGACUGUAGUUGUUUCUCAAAUACAGGAUCCAAAAGGUUGGUAAUUGGGGCCAGGAGUUUGAAACCAGCCUGAGCAAUAUAGUGAGACCCCAUCUCUAUAAAAAGUUUAAAAAUUAACUAGAUGUGAUGGUGCACACCUGUAAUUCCAGCUAUUCGGCAGGCGGAGGCAGGAGGACUGCUUCAGUCCGGGAGUUAGAGCUGUGAUGAACUCUGAGCAUACCACUGCACUCCAGCCUGGGUGACAGAGCAAGACUUUGUCUUGGGAAAAAGAAAAGAGAAAGAAAGGAAGGGAGAGUGAGAGAGAGAGGAGAAAGAAAGAGAGAAAAAGGAAGAAAAAGAAAGGAAGGAAGGAAGGAGAGAGAGAGAGAAAGAAAAAGAGAGAGAGAAGGAGGAAAGAAAGAAAAGAAAAGGAAAGGAAAGGAAAGAAAAGAGAAGGCAACCUGGAGAAAGGCAAAGACCAGCAUGUGUGAAGAUGCUCAUCAGUCAAAACUGAUAUUCUGAAUAUCAACUGAGGGAUAUUGAAUAGGUCACCCUGAGAGCCAGAAUCUGAGAAAACCCGGAAUAGUAGUAUUUCUCAUCUGCGACCCUUGAUGGAAUUGUAUUUUAAGUGAUUGCACUGGCUGCUUACAAUGCCAAGACGGAACAUACUUCAGAAUUAGCUUUUUCCUUUGAUUAUACUUUGUUGGGUUAAAAAAUAAAAAAGUGGACUUGCAAAUAUAGCAGUUGUGACUACAGCAUUUUAAGCAUUUGUAUUGAAGAUGUCCCAAAUUUCUAAAUGAAAGUUACUAAUAAAAAAUAUUCAUGUAUAUUUUCCUGUUCACUUUCCUCUCCUAACCUCAUUUUGUGUCUUUAGAACUCUAGCCUGAAACAUUGGUUCAGCUAGUCUGUCUU
rnacentral:lncRNA from 1 species